CCUACGGGAGGCUGCAGUGGGGAAUAUUGGACAAUGGGGGCAACCCUGAUCCAGCCAUGCCGCGUGUGUGAAGAAGGCCCUCGGGUUGUAAAUCACUUUCAGUGAGGAAGAACGCCUGGUGGUUAAUACCCAUCAGGAAAGACAUCACUCACAGAAGAAGCACCGGCUAACUCCGUGCCAGCAGCCGCGGUAAUACGGAGGGUGCGAGCGUUAAUCGGAAUUACUGGGCGUAAAGCGCGCGUAGGUGGCUUGAUAAGCCGGUUGUGAAAGCCCCGGGCUCAACCUGGGAACGGCAUCCGGAACUGUCAAGCUAGAGUGCAGGAGAGGAAGGUAGAAUUCCCGGUGUAGCGGUGAAAUGCGUAGAGAUCGGGAGGAAUACCAGUGGCGAAGGCGGCCUUCUGGACUGACACUGACACUGAGGUGCGAAAGCGUGGGUAGCAAACAGGAUUAGAUACCCCAGUAGUC
rnacentral:rRNA from 1 species